rnacentral:rRNA from 1 species
AAAAGCCGUCCCAGUUCGGAUUGCAGGCUGCAACCCGCCUGCAUGAAGUUGGAAUCGCUAGUAAUCGCGGAUCAGCAUGCCGCGGUGAAUACGUUCCCGGGCCUUGUACACACCGCCCGUCAAACCAUGAGAGUUGGCAACACCCGAAGUCGGUAGUCUAACCGCAAGGAGGACGCCGCCGAAGGUGGGGUUGAUGAUUAGGGUUAAGUCGUAACAAGGUACC